rnacentral:rRNA from 1 species
GACGUAGGGGGCAAGCGUUGUCCGGAAUCACUGGGCGUAAAGGGCGCGUAGGCGGCCUGUCGCGUCGGUUGUGAAAGCCCGGGGCUCAACCCCGGGUCUGCAGUCGAUACGGGCAGGCUAGAGUUCGGUAGGGGAGAUCGGAAUUCCUGGUGUAGCGGUGAAAUGCGCAGAUAUCAGGAGGAACACCGGUGGCGAAGGCGGAUCUCUGGGCCGACACUGACGCUGAGGAGCGAAAGCGUGGGGAGCGAACAGG